GAGAGGAGACGUGCAUAGGAACUGCGUCAUCUGGUUCCACACUCGCUCCAGUGAUGUUUGAGCCCCAGCAUAGAUCAGCAUGCCAGGAAGCAGCCCACCGGACCCACCCCUGAUCAUGGCACUGGACAUUGUUUUCCGUGCUUUUCUCAGGCUGGUUUCUGCCUGUCCCAACCCUGGCCAUGGCUGACAAGGGGCCCAGGGACACUGGAGCAGAGAGACCUGCUGGUCCUUGGGGUUUCUUGCAAGGUAGGACUCUACAUCCUCCCUUGGGAACUAAUUGAUCUGUCAGUAAAAUGUAAACUUCUGACUCCAUGGGUCUGUGAAUCAGCUGCCUCUAAAGGGAAAUAUCCCAGGAGUGAUGAAAACUUGAAGAUCGAGGAUUGGAUAUAAGCUCAGAGGUGAAGGAGGGAAAUUCCUCGGGUCAACUUUAGCGGACUGAUCCACGGGGUCUGCCAAGAGACAGGAGCUCGAGGGUUAAACCCAAGCACUCGGGAGUCAGAUGUAUGAAUCUGAAUCUCAGCCUCUCGGCUUGCUGUGUAAUCUCAGGCAAGUGACUUUUCUGUUCUGUAAAUCAGGCUGAUAGCGGGGGAACCUCUCUCACAGGGCUGCUACAAAGAUUGCAUGAGAUUUUGCUCAACAAAUAUUAGCUGUUGGCUCCAGAGUUUAAUACCUCUGAUCACUACAAGCUUUGAAGGCAAGAUAAAAUAACUUCAACAUAGUGAAUCAUCUGUGAACACUUCCUGUGAACGUGUGACUAUGAUUAUGGAACACUCUGUUGCAUCAAGAUGGCCAGAGAUUGUCUCAGAGUCCAGGCAGUGGGAGGAGGGGGGAUUUGUUUCCUGGCUGGGUGGUCGUAGGGCAUCAAGGGAUGAGCAGCUUUGGUUGUCUGGGAUUUCAGCAGCUUGAGGGGAGCUGUAGGGCCCCAGAGCUGUCGCUGUGGCUGUGGUGUCAGAAAUGUAAGCAAGGUGCCUCCAUGGAGGUUAGCGAGGGUGCCCCUCUGAAUGCCGGGUGGAAUGCAACCUUUCGCAUGGAGGAGGCCCUCAGCAGCUGACCUCUGUCUUCCCUGUGUAGAGGGAGGGAGGCUGAGGCUGGGGCUGAGCGAGGGGUAAAGUAAGCCACGUGUCUCAUCAGCUAGCCUGCAGCAAGCACAGCCCUCUGGGAGGGCUGGUUCUAUCCUCCUCCUUGGUGUGAAAUCCAUCAAUCUAAUAGGGAUCCUUAUUUUCCCAGCCACCAAGUCACAAUGAGCAAUAAUCUCUUCUUGUUGGUGCAUAUAAAUUUGCUUCAUUCUUUUUUAAACAG
rnacentral:lncRNA from 1 species